CAGCCGCCGCGGUAAUACGUAGGUCCCGAGCGUUGUCCGGAUUUAUUGGGCGUAAAGGGAGCGCAGGCGGUUUAGUAAGUCUGAAGCUAAAGGCAUUGGCUCAACCAAUGUAUGCUUUGGAAACUGUUAGACUUGAGUGCAGAAGGGGAGAGUGGAAUUCCAUGUGUAGCGGUGAAAUGCGUAGAUAUAUGGAGGAACACCGGUGGCGAAAGCGGCUCUCUGGUCUGUCACUGACGCUGAGGCUCGAAAGCGUGGGUAGCGAACAGGAUUAGAUACCCCCGUAGUCCCUGUCUCUUAUACA
rnacentral:rRNA from 1 species